GAUGAACGCUAGCUACAGGCUUAACACAUGCAAGUCGAGGGACCGGCGCACGGGUGAGUAACACGUAUCCAACCUGCCCUUUACUCGGGGAUAGCCUUUCGAAAGAAAGAUUAAUACCCGAUAUAAAGGAUGGGGAUGCGUUCCAUUAGGUUGUUGGUGAGGUAACGGCCAACCAAGCCUUCGAUGGAUAGGGGUUCUGAGAGGAAGGACCCCCACAUUGGAACUGAGACACGGUCCAAACUCGUACGAGAGUCAGCAGUACCGAAGAUUAGUCAAUGGGCGCUAGCCUGAACCAGCCAAGUAGCGUGAAAGAUGAAGCCUUAUGGGUCGUACACUUCUUUUAUAUAAGAAGAUGUAUUAUAUGAAUAAGGAUCGGCUAACUCCGUGCCAGCAGCCGCGGUAAUUC
rnacentral:rRNA from 1 species